rnacentral:rRNA from 1 species
UGCAGUCGAACGGCAGCACGGACUUCGGUCUGGUGGCGAGUGGCGAACGGGUGAGUAAUGUAUCGGAACGUGCCCAGUAGCGGGGGAUAACUACGCGAAAGCGUAGCUAAUACCGCAUACGCCCUACGGGGGAAAGCAGGGGAUCGCAAGACCUUGCACUAUUGGAGCGGCCGAUAUCGGAUUAGCUAGUUGGUGGGGUAACGGCUCACCAAGGCGACGAUCCGUAGCUGGUUUGAGAGGACGACCAGCCACACUGAGGACUGAGACACGGCCCAGACUCCUACGGGAGGCAGCAGUGGGGAAUUUUGGACAAUGGGGGAAACCCUGAUCCAGCCUUCCCGCGUGUGCCAUGACGGCCUUCAGGUGGGAAAUCUGUUUUGGCAGCAAUUAGACAUCGCAAACGUAAGAACCG